GUGGCAGGAAAGUAUCUUCAUCUCUGUGUCACCACAGUUGCCUUAGAAAUUGCAAAAAUUUAGAAAUUCACCCACAUACACAUGAGAAUUUGUCAACAGAUUUGGAUUCUGGGGGCUUUGGGUGCAUCUGAAACAGACGAGGGGGGGUUAAUAUGUGUCCAUUCCUCACGAGUUUCUGUUCUAGCCUGUUCAUAGAUGAUCUCAUUUCAUCUGCACAAAAGACCUGCAAAGCAGUUACUGUUAGUCUCAUUUUACAGAUUAUGUAGUUGAGGUUCAGAAAGGUGAAAAAAAAUUAUCCAGAAUAUCCCAUUACAGCUACUAAGGUUAUUAAUAAUGGUGCUCUCAUGGGGUCAUGUUCCACCUCCCUGGAAAGCUAUGCUUUUUUUUUCUCUUCUAAUUGCACUAAAUUACCAUGAAUUCUAUUUUUUCUAAGAAUAUGUCCUGUAUACAACAACGACAACGAAAAGGAAGGAGUAUCACAUGUUUCAAGGGAAAACAAAAACAAACAGGACAGAGUGAAAUCUCUCACCCCAGAUCAGGAGGCUGCAAACUUUUUCUCUAAAGGGCUAGAUAAAUAUUUUAGGCUUUGCAGAGUACGUGAUCUCUGUGACACCUCUGAAACACAGCCAUGGUGGGAUGAAAGCAGCAAUAGACAAGAGGAAACAAAUGAAAGCACCUGAAAAACUCUAGUCACAAAAACACUUUUUAAAAGCUUUAUUUACAAAAGCAGGUGUGAAUUUGAACCUCUCCUGGGGGAUCCAUACAGUCCUGAAGAACUGGGUUGCCCACGAAGACCUCUUUCCUUCCUGUCACUGUGCUAUGUGGCCAUGCAAAACACGGGAGAUCACCUUUUUAGGUGGGUCAGGAUAUCUGACGUGAUACAUCUGAUGAGAAGAGCCAACUCAUCAGAAAAGUCCCUGAUGCUGGGAAAGACUGAAGGCCAAAGGGGAAGAGGGCGUCAGAGGUUGAGAUGGUUGAAUAGCAUCACUGACUCAAGGGACAUGAACUUGGGCAAACUCUGGGAGGUAGUGAGGGACAGGGUGGCCUGUUGUGCUGCAGUGCAUGGGGUCACAAAGAGUUGGACAUGAUUUAGUGGCUCAACAACAGGCUAUCUGAAAGGCCUGAUCUGUUUUGCACAAGUCAAGAGAAGCAAAACAGAAUUUGCUUCUUCAGUUGUUCAAUAUCUGCUCUUCAUAGAUGGCAAACAUAUUUUCCAAACUUAAUGUGAAUAAUAUUUUCUGAGUUUUUUGAGGAAAACAACUAAAUCAAGAAUGAACAUGAUGUUUUCUAGUUGAUUUCAGUAGUACUUUACCCUAAUCGGAAAUUAUGUGUGUANNNNNNNNNNNNNNNNNNNNNNNNNNNNNNNNNNNNNNNNNNNNNNNNNNNNNNNNNNNNNNNNNNNNNNNNNNNNNNNNNNNNNNNNNNNNNNNNNNNGGAAAUUAUGUGUGUAACUGCAGGUAGUCUGAAGGUAAACUGCAGGUAAUACCUUCAUAGUAUUUUGCCCCUGUCUUUUAGAUAACUUUAUUUUCCCUUAUUCUUAUUCUAUUUUCAAUUAAGCUUAACAAGGAAGAAUAAUUUGGGAGAAAAAUAAAAAUCAUGAACUCUACUUUUUCAUUUUCAAUUUAGAAAUAACAUCUGUACAAUGUUUUCACUCAGAAAAAAUACAUUUUUAAAAUAAUUAAUUAAUCCUGAGAGGUAAAACAGUGGAACAAUAAGUAACUGUGAUUGUGUGGCAAGUUGACAUUUAAAAGAUUUAAAUUUAAAAUUAUAUUUUUGAAAGGAUAUUAUUUCUUUACUGUGUUAAUUGAACUACUUCCAAGGAACAGCUCAAAGAAGAGUCAAAUUAAGUUUAUCAAUGUUUUCUAAAAUAUCCAUGAAUGUUAUUAACUCUCUUUCCUUGUAAUAGGUACAACCACACUUUUAACAGACAUAAGCCAGCAACUAUCAAUCUUGCUCUCUCUUAACAGAUCAACAAUGAAUUAGGGCUCUUCUGCUGGCUCAGUUCAGUUCAGUUCAGUUGCUCAGUCGUGUCCGACUCUUUGC
ensembl:lncRNA